UACGGAGGAGGCAAGCGUUAUCCGGAAUUAUUGGGCGUAAAGCGUCCGCAGGUGGCACUUCAAGUCUGUCGUCAAAGACUGGGGCUUAACCCUGGAAAGGCGGUGGAAACUGAAGCGCUAGAGUGCGGUAGGGGUAGAGGGAAUUCCCGGUGUAGCGGUGAAAUGCGCAGAUAUCAGGAAGAACACCCGUGGCGAAGGCGGUUCUCUGGGACGGUACUGACGCUGAGGAGCGAAAGCCAGGGGAGCAAACGGG
rnacentral:rRNA from 1 species